AGAGUUUGAUCAUGGCUCAGGACGAACGCUGGCGGCACGCCUAACACAUGCAAGUCGAACGGUGAAGGGGGAGCUUGCUCCUCCGGAACAGUGGCGGACGGGUGAGUAACACGUGAGCAACCUGCCUUUCAGAGGGGGACAACAGUUGGAAACGACUGCUAAUACCGCAUAAUGUAUUUUGGCGGCAUCGCCGGAAUACCAAAGGAGCAAUCCGCUGAAAGAUGGGCUCGCGUCUGAUUAGAUAGUUGGUGAGGUAACGGCUCACCAAGUCGACGAUCAGUAGCCGGACUGAGAGGUUGAACGGCCACAUUGGGACUGAGACACGGCCCAGACUCCUACGGGAGGCAGCAGUGGGGGAUAUUGGACAAUGGGGGAAACCCUGAUCCAGCGAUGCCGCGUGAGGGAAGAAGGUUUUCGGAUUGUAAACCUCUGUGGAGGGGGACGAUAAUGACGGUACCCCUUUAGGAAGCCACGGCUAACUACGUGCCAGCAGCCGCGGUAAUACGU
rnacentral:rRNA from 1 species